GGCCCGCGACUGUGUUUCUUACGAGCUUCUGCCUGCCUGGGUUCAGAAACUGCUUGGAAACUCCCUGCUGAAACUGGAAGGUGAUGACCGUCUAGACAUGAACUGCACACUGCCCUUCAGUGACCAGGUGGUGUUGGUGGGCACCGAGGAAGGGCUCUACGCCCUGAAUGUCUUGAAAAACUCCCUAACCCAUGUCCCAGGAAUUGGAGCAGUCUUCCAAAUUUAUAUUAUCAAGGACCUGGAGAAGCUACUCAUGAUAGCAGGAGAAGAGCGGGCACUGUGUCUUGUGGACGUGAAGAAAGUGAAACAGUCCCUGGCCCAGUCCCACCUGCCUGCCCAGCCCGACAUCUCACCCAACAUUUUUGAAGCUGUCAAGGGCUGCCACUUGUUUGGGGCAGGCAAGAUUGAGAACGGGCUCUGCAUCUGUGCAGCCAUGCCCAGCAAAGUCGUCAUUCUCCGCUACAACGAAAACCUCAGCAAAUACUGCAUCCGGAAAG
rnacentral:sRNA from 1 species